GGGGGCGCACCGGUUUCGACCUGGAAAAUGCGCCAGAGGCGGCAUGCCGGGGAUGAUCGUUGGCCCCGUUAAAAAGCGAUCAAAACAAAACUGCUAACGAUGAAUUAGCUCUCGCGGCCUAAUGUUGCCGCGACGUUCGCCGGUGGACGCCUGCUACGCUGGACGAACGCCACAGCAGGCGGGGCGCCUCGCGGAGACCGCGCGCGCGGCGCCGGGAAAUCUCAUGCGGACUAGGCGGUGCGAUUCGCGUCCGGGCGCCAUCGCAUCGCGGAAAACAAUCCCGGACUAAGCAUGUAGUCGCGGCUGGUUUGUUUGCCGGGGACGCGGGUUCAACUCCCGCCGCCUCCACCA
rnacentral:tmRNA from 2 species